GAUGAACGCUGACAGAAUGCUUAACACAUGCAAGUCAACUUGAACUUCGGUUUGGGUGGCGGACGGGUGAGUAACGCGUAAAGAACUUGCCUCACAGUUAGGGACAACAUUUGGAAACGAAUGCUAAUACCUGAUAUUAUGAUUUUAGGGCAUCCUAGAAUUAUGAAAGCUAUAUGCGCUGUGAGAGAGCUUUGCGUCCCAUUAGCUAGUUGGAGAGGUAACGGCUCACCAAGGCGAUGAUGGGUAGCCGGCCUGAGAGGGUGAACGGCCACAAGGGGACUGAGACACGGCCCUUACUCCUACGGGAGGCAGCAGUGGGGAAUAUUGGACAAUGGACCAAGAGUCUGAUCCAGCAAUUCUGUGUGCACGAUGAAGUUUUUCGGAAUGUAAAGUGCUUUCAGUUGGGAAGAAAAAAAUGACGAUACCAACAGAAGAAGUGACGGCUAAAUAC
rnacentral:rRNA from 1 species